ensembl:misc_RNA
AAGUAUUCCAGAGAAUAUAGUUUAUAUUUAAAACGGUCUAAGAGUUGUUUGAACUGCGAUUGCUAAAGGAAUUGGAGGAUAAACAUUCAUCUUGUCAAGAUUUCUUUGGGAAAACCCCU